rnacentral:rRNA from 1 species
AUUGAACGCUGGCGGCAUGCCUUACACAUGCAAGUCGAACGGUAACGCGGGGCAACCUGGCGACGAGUGGCGAACGGGUGAGUAAUGUAUCGGAACGUGCCCAGUUGUGGGGGAUAACUGCUCGAAAGAGCAGCUAAUACCGCAUACGACCUGAGGGUGAAAGCGGGGGAUCGCAAGACCUCGCGCAAUUGGAGCGGCCGAUAUCAGAUUAGGUAGUUGGUGGGGUAAAGGCUAACCAAGCCAACGAUCUGUAGCUGGUCUGAGAGGACGACCAGCAACACUGGGACUGAGACACGGCCCAGACUCCUACGGGAGGCAGGAGUGGGGAAUUUUGGACAAUGGACGCAAGUCUGAUCCAGCCAUGCCGCGUGCGGGAAGAAGGCCUUCGGGUUGUAAACCGCUUUUGUCAGGGAAGAAACGCUCUGGGUUAAUACCUCGGGGUAAUGACGGUACCUGAAGAAUAAGCACCGGCUAACUACGUGCCAGCCGCCGCGGUAACAC